GACGAACGCUGGCGGCGUGCUUAACACAUGCAAGUCGAACGAUGAAGCCGGAGCUUGCUCUGGUGAAUUAGUGGCGAACGGGUGAGUAACACGUGAGUAACCUGCCCUUGACUCUGGGAUAACUGCGGGAAACUGUAGCUAAUACCGGAUACGACCCUCGGAGGCAUCUCCUGGGGGUGGAAAGAAUUUCGGUCAAGGAUGGACUCGCGGCCUAUCAGCUAGUUGGUGAGGUAAAGGCUCACUAAGGCGACGACGGGUAGCCGGCCUGAGAGGGUGACCGGCCAGACUGGGACGGAGACACAGCCCAGACUCCUACGGGAGGCAGCAGUGGGGAAUAUUGCACAAUGGGCGCAAGCCUGAUGCAGCAACGCCGCGUGAGGGAUGACGGCCUUCGGGUUGUAAACCUCUUUUAGCAGGGAAGAAGCGAAAGUGACGGUACCUGCAGAAAAAGCACCGGCUAACUACGUGCCAGCCGCCGCGGUAA
rnacentral:rRNA from 1 species